GACGAACGCUGGCGGCGUGCUUAACACAUGCAAGUCGAACGGAAAGGCCUUUUCGGAGGUACUCGAGUGGCGAACGGGUGAGUAACACGUGGGUGAUCUGCCCUGCACUCUGGGAUAAGCCUGGGAAACUGGGUCUAAUACCGGAUAGGACCGCACUUUAGUGUGUGUGGUGGAAAGUUUUUUCGGUGUAGGAUGAGCCCGCGGCCUAUCAGCUUGUUGGUGGGGUAAUGGCCUACCAAGGCGGUGACGGGUAGCCGGACUGAGAGGUUGGUCGGCCACAUUGGGACUGAGAUACGGCCCAGACUCCUACGGGAGGCAGCAGUGGGGAAUAUUGCACAAUGGGCGCAAGCCUGAUGCAGCGACGCCGCGUGGGGGAUGACGGCCUUCGGGUUGUAAACUCCUUUCGCCAGGGACGAAGCGUUUUGUGACGGUACCUGGAGAAGAAGCACCGGCUAACUACGUG
rnacentral:rRNA from 1 species